rnacentral:lncRNA from 1 species
AUCGUCAUCUUCAUUGGCAGCCUGUGCGGGCUGUGCACCAAGUGCGCUGUGUCCAACGACCUCACCCAGCAGGAGAUACAGACCCCGGAGCCCUCUCAUCUUGUAGGUGAGGAAACCGAAGGCCUGAGGGAGAAAUGACUUGCCAGGAACCCCUGUUAAGGAAAAUUAACAAAGUGUGGUUAUUAAAGAAGAACUGAGUUGGGAGUCAGACCUGGAGGCCCGCACCCGUGGUUAAGACAUUAUACCACCUUGAGUCUGGCCUGUUGACUGAGGAUACAACAGAGAAAUGCAUAAUGUCCAGUCAAUUUAUUAAAGUUCCAAAGUCGGUCGCGCGCAGUGGCUCACGCCUGUAAUCUCAACACUUCGGGAGGCCGAGGCGUGUGGAUCACGAGAUUUCAAUAUGAUUAAAGUAUGUUUCCAGUCUCAAUAGAAAUCGAUGCCAAUCCAGAAAUACAAGCAUUAUUCUAAUACUUCUCACACAUUACUGCAGGAGUGAGGACACAGCGAAAGUGAGACAAGGAAAAGAGAACAAA